rnacentral:lncRNA from 1 species
GGCACAGUGCCAGGUUCUAGGACCCGAGCCAUCCGCGCCGACUGCCCCUGUCGGAGCCUCGGUCUCCCCAUCUGCAGUAUGGGUGCGCCAGCCCCUGUGAGGCCCAACUCCCAGGAGCGCAAGGAGCCCUGGCGUCCCCAGGCUGACGGCCCCACGCGGGGGGGUGAAAGAGCAAGGAUGAUAAUGCCGGUGAAGCAUGAAGAAGACAUUGUUGUGCGUCCAAAUCCUUCUUAGGAAAAGUAUAUUUGGCUAAAAAGAGAAAUCCGCGGAGUGACGAGAGCCAGUAACGCAAAGCCUCCCGUUGCCCCUUGGGUUUCAUCUUCGACUGCCCUGCGGCCAUUCUCGCUGCACCCGCCACCGCUUCCUGACUUGUCAAGGUCACCGGCAAGCCUCACGCUGCCUCGUCUCAGGACCACGUCUCUGCUGGGAGGUACGUGCCACGGGGAACCACAGCCCCUUCUUCUGGAAACACUAUGACUCCGUGACACCGGCCUGCCUGCCCUCCCAUCUGUCCGGCUCACCUGCCUCAGUGUCCCUUGCUGAAUUCCCACCCUGGCCCCCGAGGACUCAGGCCACUUCUUCUUGGAUGGGAGACACCUCUUUCCUCUCCAGAGCUCAUCAGCCGCCGUGGCUAUUUUUAACAGUUUCAUUGAGAUAUAAUUGACAUAGGAUAAACUGAACAUAUUUCAAGCGACAUAUUUAAAGACAUAAUUAAAGUGAUGAUUUGAGAAGUCUUGACAUAUGUAUGCAUUCGUGAGACCGUCACCACAAUCAGGAUAAUGAAAGUAGCCAUCAUCCCCCCAAUUUCCCUCCUGCUUCUUUGUCAUGUACUCCAAAAGCCCGCCCCCUCCUCCCCAGGCAACCACAGGUCUGCUUUCUGUCACUACAAAAGUUAACUUACAUUUUCUACAAUGUUAGGUCAAUGGAAUCAAAGGGGACAUUCUCUCUCUCUCUCUGUCUCUCGGUUUUGCCUGGUUUCUUUCACUUAGCCCCGUUCUUUUUAGACUCAUUCAUUCUCAUGUGUAUAUCAAGAGUUCAUUCAUUUUUUUUUUAAUUUUUUUUUUAACGUUUAUUUAUUUUUGAGACAGAGAGAGACAGGGCAUGAACGGGGAAGGGGCAGAGAGAGAGGGAGACACAGAAUCGGAAACAGGCUCCAGGCUCUGAGCCAUCAGCCCAGAGCCCGAUGCGGGGCUCGAACUCACGGACCGCGAGAUCGUGACGUGAGCUGAAGUCGGACGCUUAACCGACUGCGCCACCCAGGUGCCCCGUUCAUUCAUUUUUAAAAUGGAGUAGUAUUCUAUUGCAUGGGUCUACAAUUCAUCUGGCCAUGUUUCUGUCGAUGGACAUUUCGGUGGCUUUGUUUCAAGCAAUUACAAAUAAAACAGCUAUGAACAUUCA